GACGAACCGUGCAAACGUUGUUCGGAUUCACUGGGCUUAAAGGGCGCGUAGGCGGUACGCCAAGUCUGGGGUGAAAUCUUUCGGCUCAACCGGAAAAUUGCCUGGGAUACUGGCGUGCUCGAGGGAGGUAGGGGCAGCGGGAACUGCCAGUGGAGCGGUGAAAUGCGUUGAUAUUGGCAGGAACGCCGGUGGCGAAAGCGCGCUGCUGGACCUCUUCUGACGCUGAUGCGCGAAAGCUAGGGGAGCAAACGGG
rnacentral:rRNA from 1 species